AGAGUUUGAUCCUGGCUCAGGACGAACGCUGGCGGCGUGCCUAAUACAUGCAAGUCGAGCGAAUGACGAGGAGCUUGCUCCUCUGAUUUAGCGGCGGACGGGUGAGUAACACGUGGGCAACCUGCCCUGUAGACUGGGAUAACUUCGGGAAACCGGAGCUAAUACCGGAUAAUCCAUCUUCUCUCAUGUGAAGAUGUUGA
rnacentral:rRNA from 1 species